rnacentral:rRNA from 1 species
GAUGAACGCUGGCGGCGUGCCUAAUACAUGCAAGUCGAGCGAACAGACGAGGAGCUUGCUCCUCUGACGUUAGCGGCGGACGGGUGAGUAACACGUGGAUAACCUACCUAUAAGACUGGGAUAACUUCGGGAAACCGGAGCUAAUACCGGAUAAUAUAUUGAACCGCAUGGUUCAAUAGUGAAAGACGGUUUUGCUUUCACUUAUAGAUGGAUCCGCGCCGUAUUAGCUAGUUGGUAAGGUAACGGCUUACCAAGGCAACGAUGCGUAGCCGACCUGAGAGGGUGGUCGGCCACACUGGAACUGAGACACGGUCCAGACUCCUACGGGAGGAAGCAGUAGGGAAUCUUCCGCAAUGGGCGAAAGCUUGACGGAGCAACGACGCGUGAGGGAUGAAGGUCUUCGGAUCGUAAAACUCUGUUAUUAGGGAAGAACAAAUGUGUAAGUAACUAUGCACGUCUUGACGGUACCUAAUCAGAAAGCCACGGCUAACUACGUG